GGGCAAAUAGUGUAGUUGGUUAUCGCGCCCGCUUCGCACCAUAGAUCAUGUGAUUCGUCACGUGAUUGCUAUGCGGGAGGUGCUGGGUUCAAUUCCCAGUUUGUCCA